ensembl:lncRNA
UCAAAUUGAAACCUUUUUUUAAUUUUCAAUGCGAGUUACAAGGUGUGACCUUAAUGUACAACAGGGGUUGGCCGCGGUAACAGGGUUUACACUACCCUCUGCUGGCAGGACAUGAAUCUUCCACUUCAAAUGAAAUCAAACUUCUUAACUCAGGAAUUAAACAUUAGUGUGUUACAAAAGCCAUUUCGCUAAAAACUAAAUACCAAAACGGUGAUUGAAUUAUAGAUUUUCAGUCUCCUUCCUUAGACAAAAACUAUGGUAAAGGGAAUACGCUCAAAAAUACAGACAUUAGACUUCAGCAUGAACUACACACUUCAAAUAUACAAAAAGAUAGCAAACAGCUACGAGCAUGUACAGUAUUUACAACAAAAGGUCUCUCCUCUGGUGAACUUGGAGGUGCGUGGAUCACAUUCAGAACACUGUCUGUGUGAUUGUUCAUGUGACGGUAAGAAAAGGGUGCGGUACUAAAAGAAGUCUAAGCACCCUCAAUUAUUUACAGCAGUUCCUUGUUGAACCAGAUGUCGUGAUACUGAUCCGUCACAGUGAUCCCGACGCCUCUCCCCUCAGGUCUGUCAUUCUGCCUGCUUCUACCACCUCCCUCUCUGGAAGGGCGGGCACCCAAACCCUGCUCUCCCGUUUCUGAAAUGCAUCCCUUCCCUGUCGUGCAUGCCGUCUGGUCCCAUGGAGAGAUGCCGAUGGAAAGGAGGGCCGCGAGGCGGAAAGGGCAUGGGCAUCCUGAACCUCUCCGGAGAAAACACGGGCCGUCCGGGCAUCAUUUGCGGGUGAUUGUGCGACAUGUUUGGAGGCGAGAGGAAAGGAGGUAGAUGAGGAUUCGGCAUGUUGGGGGGAGGCUGCAGAGGGGGCAUGCCCAGUCUGGAACCCUGCAUGACUCCCGUGCCCGGCAGGGUCAUCACCGGUGCUGUGGGAGAACCCAGCUGGUGGUCGGCGCACAUAUCCAAAGGCAUGCCUGUGUCUCCUAUAGAGUCCUGGAUGGAGUCCUCCGGGUGUUUUACACUACCUGCAGCAAAGAGGAUAAGAUGACGUUUGGGAUUUUCA